UCCUCCCACGUUUAGUUUCCAGAAACCCAAUCGUCAAAACCUAGAAGAGGUUCAUUCGAAACCCUUGAGCUCUCGAUCAGUUUCAUCCCUUUCACAGCUGUUUGUAACCGCAAGGUGAAAACGAAGAUUAGAGUUUGAGAUCCACCCACGAAGAUUCAGAAACAGUUGAAGGCUUUAGUCCUGAAUUGGAGAAUCAAAAUGGAGAGAAAGUGAAGCAAAAACCGCUUUUAGAAACCAUCGUUUAUAUUUUUCGUUUUGCAGAAUACAGAAGAAUAAUGGGGGGAAAUUUGACUCUGGAUAGUGAAGGAAGACCAUUUAGAAUGCUUGUUUUUAGAGGAAGCCCGAAAUCAAGUAGAAAAUCGAUUCGAUAUGUUGAUGAAAUUAGGCGUAGCGAUGAAGACAAUUUCAAAAACAAGAAUCACAUUAGCCAACAAAGAAAAUUACCCAAGAAGGAAACCAAAAUACUAGAUGCACCUUUCAUUCAGGACGAUUUCUACAUGAACGUAAUGGAUUGGGGGAAGAACAACAUUCUCGCAGUUGCUUUGGGACAAGAAUUGUACCUUUGGAACCCGGUGAAUGAAGACACAUAUCGUCUACUUAGAACCGAGAAUUUAAAUGACCCUCCGUCCAGUCUUUCAUGGUCUCACGAUGGCAAAACACUCGCGGUUGGUCUUUCACAAUCACAUAUUCAGCUUUUCGACGCGCAAACUAGCAAACUUAUAAACAGACUAGAAGGUCAUCAUGUAGUUGCAACUUCAUGGAAUGGCCACAUUUUAACAUCAGGCAGUGGCAAAGCCAUUUUGAACCAUGAUGUGAGGGUUAGAAACAGUUUGGUGUCGCGUUUAAAGGCGCACAGGAUGCUUAUCGCCUAAAGUUGCUAGCGACGAUAUUCAGGUUCAAAUUCCGAUUGUGAUUCUUGUUUGAACGGUCUUGAUUGGAUCAGUAGGUUGUUUACCAGAAGCAAAUGAUCGGUUUCUACUUCUGAUGUGGUAUAUGUAUGCAAGGAUGGAGAGACUUAUGCAGACCUCUCAAAUGUGUGCUCUUGAGCCACAUUAGUUUUUGAACAUGCUGAUAGGAUGUGCUGUAAGACAUACUUGACUACAAAAUCCUUCAAAAACACCUAAUAUAAUCAGGCCAUGGUGACAAAAAGAGGAAGAAAAAUAUCGAACCUGAACCAGCUCUGCCAAAUCCAUGGAGGUCGCUUGUAUUUAUACAAUUAGUUAAUGGGUCAUAUCGUGUUUGUACAGAUAUUGGUUUUGUAGCUGAAGUAGGGUUAAUGAAAGAAUAUUUGCAUUUUUAUUUAGGAUUGUGUUAUUUUACUACGUGAAAACAUGGAUUUUUUUUUCAUGUGUAGGUGAGCUGGGACAUUUUGCAUGGUUGAUAAGCAAUUUUCUCGGGUUGUCUAGCUUUCUUGGUGUUUGCUGCAGUAUUAUUUGUCAGCUGCGGGUUCAGUCAUGGUAGAGAGAAGACUGAUUUUUUGGGGCUGCCAAUCAGACAGCGGGUGACUUGUCUGCAUCUCUGGUGUAGGGUUGUUCAUGAGCCGAGCCGAGCCAGGCCAAGCUCGGGUUUGGCUCGAUUAUAAACCGAGCUGGCUUGGCUGGGCUCGGAUUUGAAACCGAGCUGAAAAUCUAAAGCUCGGGCUCGACUUGGUUUUAAACCGAGCUGGCUUGGCUCGGCUUGGUUUGGCUCAAUUUUAAAAAAAAGAAAUUAUUAAGCUUAAUUAAGGAUGUUCAAGGCUGGAGCUCAACUUGCAUUAAUUGAGGGGUCUAGAUUCUUUCCUGGCUUCUGAUGGUGGUUUGCCACAACUCCUUGGGUGCAUCGGCUUUGUAACAUCAGGAAAGUCGGCCCUUCUUCUAGAUCUCUAACAAUUGGCUAUGGCACCUCUUCUUUGAUUUGUUAUUGGAGUUCUCUUUUCUGAUUCACAUAGUUGGCUUCUUUAGAGUAGAAAUGUUUGUAUCUAGGGUAGCCAUUUGGCAUCGUAUAUUAAUUAGUCUUUGUUCAAAUUUUGAGUGUAAGCUGGUGCAAAUGAAAACUGUUGUUUUUGUUGA